UACGGGGGGGGCAAGCGUUGUCCGGAUUUAUUGGGCGUAAAGAGCGUGUAGGCGGCUAGGUAGGUCCGCUGUGAAAACUUGAGGCUCAACCUCAAGAGGUCGGUGGAAACCAUCUGGCUAGAGCCCGGAAGAGGAGAGUGGAAUUCCCGGUGUAGCGGUGAAAUGCGCAGAUAUCGGGAAGAACACCCGUGGCGAAGGCGGCUCUCUGGGACGGUACUGACGCUGAGGUGCGAAAGCGUGGGGAGCAAACAGG
rnacentral:rRNA from 1 species